rnacentral:sRNA from 1 species
UAUACCAUCAAUGUGCCUUGGAACCAGGUGGGGAUGCGGGAUGCUGACUACAUUGCUGCUUUCCUGCACGUCCUGCUGCCAGUCGCCCUCGAGUUCCAGCCUCAGCUGGUCCUGGUGGCUGCUGGAUUUGAUGCCCUGCAAGGGGACCCCAAGGUAAGGCAGGCUCCUUGGGGCGGCAGGUGGGUUGCAUGGAGCCAGGCUGACCCUCCAUGUCCCCCCAGGGUGAGAUGGCCGCCACUCCGGCAGGGUUCGCCCAACUAACCCACCUGCUCAUGGGUCUGGCAGGAGGCAAGCUGAUCCUGUCUCUGGAGGUGAGUGACUCACCUUCGUCCCUCAGCCUGUGGAUCCUGGAGGGCUUAAGAACGAAGCUUUCAAGUCCAACAGGAGUUCCUGGCCCAGGAAUUCACUUACUAGCUGGACAACCUUGCAUAAGUCACUUCACUUCUUUGUGCCUCCGCUUUCCUUCUAUAAAACGAGCAUAAUGUAAUCACCUCAUAUCAUUGUCCAGUGAAUUCAGUGAGGCCCCCUUCUAAGUUCCUUGUUGCUUGACAUGUGGUAUGCACUCUCUUAUUAUCAUCAUUAUUAUUAUUCCCUGGUCAUGUCUGGUCCUUUCCUGAUCCCCCUUCACAACUCCUUGCCCCAGGGUGGCUACAACCUCCGCGCCCUGGCUGAAGGCGUCAGUGCUUCG